UAUAUAUAUAUAUAUAUGUAUAUAUAUAUAUAUAUAAAAUAGUACUUUUUAGUACUAUAAGCUACAUGUAUUCACAUAAGAUAGUACUUUUUGGUUCUAUGAGGUAAUUUUAUUCACAUAAAAUAGUACUUUUAGUACUAUAAGGUACAUCUAUUUACAUAAACUAGUACUUUUUGGUGCUAUGAGGUGCUUGUAUUCACAUAAGAUAGUACUUUUAGUACUAUAAGGCACUUGUAUUCACAUAAGAUAGUACUUUUUAGUACUAUGAGGUACUUGUAUUUACAUACACUAGUACUUUUAUUGCUAUAAGGUACAUGUAUUUACAUAAUAUAGUACUUUUUAGUACUAUAAGGGACAUGUAUUCACAUAAGAUAGUACUUUUUGGUACUAUGAGGUACAUGUAUUUACAUAAACUAGUACUUUUUGGUGCUAUGAGGUACUUUUAUUCACAUAAAAUAAUACCUCUAGUACUGUAAGGUACAUGUGCUCACAAAAGAUAGUACUUUAUGGUGCUAUGAGGUACUUGUAUUCACAUAAGAUAAUACUUUUAGUACUAUAAGGUACGUGUGUUUACAUAAUGAACAGACAUGUUUUCAUUAUGUAUAUAAAUGGUUUCCCCUAAACUGCCAAGACAUCUGUGGUGAUGGGGGCGUGGCCAUGGGCGUGGCCAUGGGCGUGGUCACCAUAACGUCAUCAAAUAAUUUGCCCUGAUGAUCAAUUUUUUCUUUAAAAAGGCUACAAAAAUGACACGUACAUUUAAAACCAAUGUGCCAUUAUUAAUUAGUAUUAAACAAACUGUUUUUAUUGUUUGCCAUAUUUCCAAUUGUUGCUACUUUUUGUACAAAGUACUUUGUUGAGAUUUGAUCAGGUGUUUACAGACUUUGAAUGACUUGUAAACAACUCGCAACAAAUGUAGCAUCUUCCUUUGGUGUUAUUAUAGAAUGUACUGGUGUUUACAGACUGCUUCUGUACUGAAGAGGCCGUCCGUGCCUGCAAGUCGCGUGUCCAGGGAAGCCAAGACUCACCGAGACAAAAGUGUGUACACGCGAAUUAAAACCCCAUGCGAAUGUGGCAGUUAUCAUAAAAUUGGUAAUAAAAGUUAAAAAUGG